UGGGCUGGCCUAAAAGUUCGUUCUGGUUUUUCCAUCUCACGGAAAAACCCAAACAAACUUUUUGGCCA
rnacentral:miRNA from 1 species